UAAGGUAAAAACAAAAAGGUUUUGCAGCUUCUGAGCAGCCUGGAAGCAGUUUUUCACUGAGGGGUCCCGUGCCAGCUGCUUAAAAAACCCCGGCUGGCAGCACCGGGGUCCCAGUGGCGGUUAUAAUGUGCCGGGAGGAGGUGGCGGGGCUGUGCCCGCAUCCCGUGGUGCCUCGUGUGGCGCAGCAGGCUCUGCCAUGGGUGUCCCUGGGGACAUGGGAGCUGCUGAAGGCAUGUGAUGACCGAUCAGCCCCAGGAGCAUGGCCAGCGGCAAGAGACAGGCAGAGCCAGCAGGACAGCAGCUGCCGCACGGGCACAGGCUGUGGAGGAUCCUGCCCCUGUCCCCAUUGCCCCACUGCACAAAGCGGGGCUGCCUCCCAGCACUUCGCUCCUUGCUCACAGCAGGAUGGUCCCUUCCUUGGGGUGUGUGUGGGGCUGGGGUGCUGCCCGGCAGGGCCAGCAGUGGGGCAGAGGCUCUGCAAUGGCACGUGGUGGCAGGAGGGUCCCUGCAGCACCUCCCCUGGCACUGGGUCCCUGUGGCUGUUCCCACCCUUGGCCAGAGCUCAGGGCUGGCCUGGCCACGGCUGGUAUGGAGAUAACCUCACACUGGCCAAGGCUGCUCCCAAACCUCAUUCCCAACCCAUGGAUGCCACCAACUUGGGGCACUGUGGGGGUCUUCUCCCCACUCUUUCCUACUAAGAACCAGGGGCAGCACAUGGGGAGCUCAGCCCAUUGCACGGGGUGGCUUCUGCCCCAGUUCGCAGCUGGGUGCACCCAGCCGGGGGCCGGUGCCGGAUGCAGGGGCUCAGUGGAGGUGCAGCAUCUGCUUCUCGUCAGGCUGCCGGAGCGCGGGCCCCGCUCUGAUAGAUGCUCUGUUUAUCACGUUCCGGCUCUGCACAGGAUGUUAGUGUUCGCCUGCAAAAGGCUUUUUUGGACUCUGCCGCUCCCUCCAUCCUCCCUCUCCUCCUGCUUAGCCCCAGAUCCUCGCCCUUGGGUCCAGAUGGGCUGAAGCCUCUUCAGACCUGGGGGUGAAGGUCCAGGGAGCAUACACCCCACAGCCCCUUGUCCCUGCCCAUGGGAAGGGCUGGGCUCAGCCCUGCCACCCUGGGAAUGGAUGGGGAUGGGAAGCAGAGGUUCCUGCCAGCUGCAGGCUCUGCCCUGAUGGGGACUGGGACAGGGACAAGGGCUGAAGGGACAGCAGGAGCUCCUCAUCCCCUGGGGCAGGGAAGGGGCAGAGGGCAGGGAGGGAUGAGCUCUGUGAUACACAUAGCCCCACACCGUACCAGGGUGCCCUGGCCCUGCUGAGUGGCAGCCCUGGGGGCACUUCCAUCACCCUCACCCUCUUGCCCAGCUCCUCACUAACUCUCAUGGGGGACGCAUGGAUUUAGAGGCAGACUCCCCCCCUUUCUGUCCCUAUCCCUGUCUGUCCCUGCAGAGCAGAGCUACCAAGCCCAGGUCUGUCCUGCCAAGGUGCUGGGGCUGGGCAUGGGGGAUGCAGACACAUGGCACUGGAGGGGGAAAACCUCUCUGCCUGCAGCCAGCCAGGCAGACACACAGCUUUCCUACGGGAUGAGCCAUCGACACACGCCAGCCGCAGCGAGGAUGACCACGGGCUCCUCCAUGUCUCCCAGCCCAA